GUGAAGUUGCCCUUAUUGCCGCAGUUCGGCCACUGGGAAGCGGCCAGCGGCGGGAGGAGGAAGGCAAGGAGGAGGGCAGCGGCGGUGGCGAGGUAGGAGGGGAUGCGGCCGCGGUGGUGCGAGGCCAUGGCGUUUGGCCGCUUGGGCGAGCCGACGAGUCGUAGAGCUAGCGGUGGUGGCUCGACAAGUAAAGCGAAGAAGAUAUAGAAGACUAGUUGAGGGGAGGGGUACUGGAGGUGGGGUCUGGUGUUGACUCCUGUGGGGUUCGUUUGACUUGACUACUGUGCUGGAGAGUGGUUGGGGGUUCUGAAAUCGUGGGGCCACCUAUAAAUGCUCGCGGGCCCGGCCACUCAGCCAGCUAUGACUAUCGGCCAUGCCGACUCAAGAGGGCAGCGGUGGCCCUCGGGCAGAACCGAAACGACCGGCAAGUAUUCCACGUGAGUUUACGUGGCCUAGAUCGAUCCUUCAAUUCUGUUUUUCCUGGUUUCACAAUCACAAGAGGAAAAAGAUCCAACGAUUUGCACACGACAACAAGUGUCGAGUUCAGGCACGUUCCCGUCGAACUUGACGGACUUUGUCCUCCCCGUGCGGGUACCGGUGCGUUUGGAACCGCAGAAAUCUGGAGGGCGACUCGUCUAUCUGCCCAACGGACUAUGUUUCGGUGUCUUAAGGCAUUUAUCUUUAUGUCUAUAACAUAUAGGCCCAAUAGAUGGCUGGUCCACAUGUCAGUGACCCAAAGACAGGUGUCUUUAAGACACCGAAACUGCGUCCCUGCCCAACAUCGAGUCCAUCUUCGUCAUCGGCGGGUCGCAGCACCGUCCGCCGUUUCAUCUCGGUUGGGCAUAGUAGCACCGUGUCACCGCAAAAUCAUUAAUUGAGGAAUACUCUUAGCAAAGAUCACUCUUAUUUUUUUUAGAUUGUAACAAAGUGUUGUGCUGCAUGUGCUUCUUGCAACCUGAGAGAUUUUAUUUUUUUUCGCAGAUGUGUUUAUUCAAAAUGUUUUAUCUCCCAAAUCGUGCGUCCAAAUCUCGCAUUAUUUUCAUCGAUGGAUUCCUUGUGUCGAGAUCUUCAAAACUAAAUCUUAUGUCGAUAGGUUUUAAUGAAAAAAUUCACGAGAAAAAACCAAACCGGGAGCACGUUUUUUUUUUCCUUUUUCGAAAGAGGCACGGCCAUGUCUCUCGCAAAAUCACAACCGUGCCGCUCGCGGAACAAAAAAAAUAGAAAAUGCAUUUUUUUCGUUUUCAAGAGGCACGUACAGGCAUGAUAGUGCCUCUCGCAGAAGCAAAACCAUGCCUCUGAUGGAAGAUUAAAAAAACGCGUUUUUUUAUUUCCCGAGAGGCACGGUCGUGCCUCUCGUGGAAAAAAAAUCAUAAAACAUAUAUUUUUUGUUUCCGAGAGGCAUGGUUGUGCCUCUCUCAAAAGCAAAAUGGUCCCUCUUGCGGAAGAAAAAAACACAUUUUUUCACAAUCUUUUUACGAUGAAAAACCAAAACGUCGAAAAAACCUAAAAAACAGGUAAAAAGCCGAAAACAGGUGCGGAAAAAAAUCGAAAUGACGUGUCCAAAGCGUGACAUGUGACGGGCGGCUGAGAGUGCGCCAAAUAACGCUGAUCGUUGUGAGGCUUCCGGGGAGCGCUUGUCAACUAGUUAGUCUUCGGUCAUCGUUGUUAGGUUGUGGCAUUGCACGACAUCAUCGCAUGCCAAAAGCCCAUCACAACACCACAAGUAGCCGGUUCCAACAAAUGUCACUGCGCUCGUCGUUAGAUUGUGGCAUUGCACAAAAGCCCAUCACAACACCCAAAGUAGCUGGUUCCAACAAAUGUCACCGCCGGUUCCAACAUCCUAGCACGCAAGAUGGCCCAUCGCAGCACCGCAGACCGCUGAUUCCAGUAAAUUUCGUCGACAGUCCCAGCAUGACACCCCGGACUUGCAGCAAAAAGCCUUGCACGCCCCAACAAAGCAGACCUCUUCUUCCAGCUUUUCUAUGCACUGGCCAUUAGAUACCGGUUCCAGCACCCCUCGCUGCGUCGCAACACUCUCGCUAGCAGCGCUUGAGGUCAGAGCUGGAACCGACGAGUGGAGGAGCUGCAACCGGCAAAGGGCAAAGCUAGAACUGAUGAGUGUGCGGAGCUGCAAUCAGCGGUGGCAGAGGUGCAUCUGUUUUGGGCCGGAGGUGCAACCGGCUACAGUAGAGUUGCAUCGCCGAGUGGUGGAGCUGGAAGCACGGCCGCCUGCCGGAUCCAACCCAUGAUGCUUGCCCGGGUUUUGCUAGACUUACAGACACAGAUUAACGUACGACAACCUACGGACUGACCUGGCAAUGGUUCAUUGGAAUUCAGGAAGGUCCACAGUUGAAAUCAGGGAGGAGGGGAGGGAAAUUAGUCGGGACUCGGGACACGUAAUCCCGUGCGUUCCCUCCGUGCCUUCUUGUCCGUAAGUGUAGGAUUUUCGCUUGCCCACACCGGUGAUGGCUGUUGCACAGUCAAUUAACUGAUAGCUACGCGACUGCGCAGUAGUCAAGACCAAACAACAGAAAUUUUCAAAGUUUCUUGUUGAGAGCAAUCUUUCCCUCAUCACUUACUUUUUCAGUUUACCAAGGUUUGUUUUGUCUCAGCUGUCCUACAAACUAAUUUAUUCCGAGUUCUUUACAGAACUCUGAAGACUGGAUUACUUAUUUUAGCACAACUGAAUCAGACUGUAAAAAGGCCCCUGGCUGGUGUUGACACUCUAUAAUUAUAUGCUAGAAUCAAAUUAAAUAAUAGAAAUUGAUCCUGUCCACCUUGAGUUUGUACUUUUUGGUUUCUUCGCAGAUCGAACCUCACCGUUUUACCUUCCCGAAAAAAUAAAACCUCACUGUUUUUGUCCCUCAAUUUUGAAAUUACUUCUGGUCUAAAGACUGAAUGGUGCAAAUAAGAUGAAAUUAUUUCUCCAAGCUCACCUCCUCCGACUGGCGGUGGCGUCACGUUGGCCGGCGCUGGAGAUGGAGGUGCCCCCACGGAUGGCGCCGGGAGCUGCAGCAUAGAAGGCCCGGUGAAGAAGGAAUACUGCUCAUACCUGUAGUUGCACCGCAAUCCAACAACCCUAGCACCCCGCCUCCCUGUUAAGUGCUGAGGGAUGUACGUAAUGAUAUCUGCGAGACAGCUCCGGCAAUCUGCCGGUGACAUAUCCGGCCUGCACUGCGCCACACCGUAAAUCUUGGGUUUCGCCUUGUCGAUCGUCUCGAACCCCUCCUCCCCUGUGCCGAACCGCCUGGAGGAGUCAGCGGCCGCGUAAUCCGCGGUGGCGUUCAUGAGGACGCUCACGGCGGCUUCGAACACCUUCGCUGGCACGGUCACGUUUUCGCUGUUCACCAGCGUGAGGGCGUUGUUGUCGCCGUCGGUGGCGGAGAGGAUGUCUUGGUUGGAGAAGCCAAGGUAGCAGAGGUCGUAGUAGACGGCGGCGACCUUACUGUAGGGGCAGAGCUGCUGCGCGUCCUUGAAGCCGUCGGAGACGCAAGCGCCGCAGGCAGAGGCGUUGGCGUCGCCGCGGCAGAGCGCGAGCGCGUAGACGAUGUCCGGAACGGUGCCAAAGCUGUCGGCCGCGAAUAGCGUCCGCGACGAGGAGGCGUUCUUGGGAAGGGUGACGGAGAGGGCCCGGAUGUUAGCCUGGUAGGUGCUGUUCUGGUCGAAGUUGCCGUUCUUGCCGCAGUUCUGCCACUGGGAAGCGGCCAGCGGCGGGAGGAGGAAGGCAAGGAGGAGGGCAGCGGCGGUGGCGAGGUAGGAGGGGAUGCGGCCGCGGUGGUGCGAGGCCAUGGCGUUUGGCCGCUUGGGCGAGCCGACGAGCCGACGAGCUAGCGGUGGAAGAUGCGUUGGUGGCGAGUGGCGACUCUUCUAAAGCAAGGUGUCGGCCUGUCGGGUGAAGCAGGGUAGAAGAACG
rnacentral:lncRNA from 1 species